rnacentral:rRNA from 1 species
AGUGAACGCUGGCGGUAGGCCUAACACAUGCAAGUAGAACGGCAGCACAGUAAGAGCUUGCUCUUACGGGUGGCGAGUGGCGGACGGGUGAGGAAUACAUCGGAAUCUACUUUUUCGUGGGGGAUAACGUAGGGAAACUUACGCUAAUACCGCAUACGACCUACGGGUGAAAGCAGGGGAUCUUCGGACCUUGCGCGAUUGAAUGAGCCGAUGUCGGAUUAGCUAGGUGGCGGGGUAAAGGCCCACCAAGGCGACGAUCCGUAGCUGGUCUGAGAGGAUGACUAGCCAAAAUGGAACUUGGACACGGUCCAGACUCCUACGGGAGGCAGCAGUGGGGAAUAUUGGACAAUGGGCGCAAGCCUGAUCCAGCCAUACCGCGUGGGUGAAGAAGGCCUUCGGGUUGUAAAGCCCUUUUGUUGGGAAAGAAAAGCAGCAGGUUAAUACCCCGCUGUUCUGACGGUACCCAAAGAAUAAGCACCGGCUAACUUCGUG